AUGGAGGAAAAAGCCUUGAAUUGGUAUCAAUGGUGCGAGGAGCAAGCACCGUUGAAGACCUGGGAGGAAUUUAAGGUGGCUGUCAGGCGAAAGUUUCAACCAGAGUUUGGAGGAUAUAAAAAGGAAGGUGAAAGAGCUAGUGGUGAAGGAAAUGAGAAGUAUAAGGGGAGGAGAUUGAAUCCUGCAGAAUUGGAGGAAAGAAGCAAGAAGGGGUUAUGCUUCAAGUGUGGAGACAAGUGGAAUAGAGAGCACAUUUACAAUUCAAGCAUAUGA